rnacentral:rRNA from 1 species
CCCUUAGACGUUCUGGGCCGCACGCGCACUACACUGACACAGGCAACGAGCUUUCCUUUACCGAAAGGUAUGGGUAAUCUUUUGAAACUGUGUCGUGCUGGGGAUAGAUCCUUGCAAUUUUUGAUCUUAAACGAGGAAUUCCUAGUAAGCGCGAGUCAUCAACUCGCGUUGAUUACGUCCCUGCCCUUUGUACACACCGCCCGUCGCUACUACCGAUUGAAUGGCUUAGUGAGGCCUCAGGAUCCGCGCUUAAUGUGUGGAGAAUUUGGACAAACUACGUCAUUUAGAGGAAGUAAAAGUCGUAACA